rnacentral:tRNA from 1 species
UCCCUGAUAGCUCAGUUGGUAAAGAAUCUGCCUGCAAUGCAGGAGAUCCCGGUUCGAUUCCUGGGUCUGGAA